GCAAGUCGAGCGCGCCCUUCGGGGUGAGCGGCGGACGGGUGAGUAACGCGUGGGAACGUGCCCUUUGCUGCGGAAUAGCCACUGGAAACGGUGAGUAAUACCGCAUGAGCCCUUCGGGGGAAGGAUUUAUCGGCAAGGGAUCGGCCCGCGUUGGAUUAGGUAGUUGGUGGGGUAAUGGCCUACCAAGCCGACGAUCCAUAGCUGGUUUCAGAGGAUGAUCAGCCACACUGGGACUGAGACACGGCCCAGACUCCUACGGGAGGCAGCAGUGGGGAAUCUUAGACAAUGGGCGCAAGCCUGAUCUAGCCAUGCCGCGUGAGUGACGAAGGCCCUAGGGUCGUAAAGCUCUUUCGCCUGUGAAGAUAAUGACGGUAGCAGGUAAAGAAACCCCGGCUAACUCCGUGCCAGCAGCCGCGGUAAUACGGAGGGGGUUAGCGUUGUUCGGAAUUACUGGGCGUAAAGCGCGCGUAGGCGGACCAUCAAGUUGGGGGUGAAAUCCCGGGGCUCAACCCCGGAACUGCCUCCAAAACUGGCGGUCUGGAGUUCGAGAGAGGUGAGUGGAAUUCCGAGUGUAGAGGUGAAAUUCGUAGAUAUUCGGAGGAACACCAGUGGCGAAGGCGGCUCACUGGCUCGAGACUGACGCUGAGGUGCGAAAGUGUGGGGAGCAAACAGGAUUAGAUACCCUGGUAGUCCACACCGUAAACGAUGAAUGCCAGUCGUCGGCAAGCAUGCUUGUCGGUGACACACCUAACGGAUUAAGCAUUCCGCCUGGGGAGUACGGCCGCAAGGUUACAACUCAAAUGAAUUGACGGAA
rnacentral:rRNA from 1 species